UCAGACAUGGUGUAAUGGGAACACGGCCUUCUAUCAUUUGGCAAAUCUGGAGGGUUUAUGGAGGCAGUCCAGGGUUCGACUCCCUGUGUUUGAA